CAUUCAUAUGGUCAGUUUGCACAUCAUAUUUGUUUUGAAGCAAGAAGUCAAAUAGAACACAGUUCCCUUGUUUGUUUACUGAAAGUUCUUCCUUUUUUUGUUGUAUUGUUUAUCAUGGAACUUCAGUUGUGUGUUGUCAGUGUGUACAUUACGGGCUCUUACUACAGUAUCCGCUAAACUGAACCCACUUGACAGGCAUGUGCAGGAAAUGUUUAGCCAAAAAUAAGUCUAUAAACAUGGAUAUAAUCAAAACCUGAAGGGUUGUUGGUAUGUUGGAAACACUGUGCAGCUUAAAUAUAGUUCUCUCUUACGAGGUUAUAGAGUGAUGGUCAUAGAUGACGUCAGGGCCAGUUUUCUAUUUUGUUCUCAGCUCUGAUUGGCUGAGACAUAGCGUUGAGGUUAAUCUUCUGGGUUAUGAUUGGCUCAGAGAUAGAGUUGAGAGUUAUGUACAACAGACUAAGGGGAAGAUACCCCUGGACACUCAUCUUGGUUCAGUUUUGCAUUGUCCUCACUAAUGGUUAAGGUUAGGAUUGGGGGAGGGGAUUAUAGCUGAUCCUAGAUCUGUACCUAGGGGAAACGUGAAGGCAUUCAAAUCUUUACCUCCACCUACCGAACAAUGUGGUAAUAUUGCGUUACAGGUUAGGUUACUCUCUUAGUCUUCUCACAAUCCUUCCAUAGUGAUUCUAAUACAAUUUUCUCAUGGCUUAUUCAUUUAAAAUGGUUUUGAAUGUUUAGAGAAGAAAGCAUGUCUCUUAUAGCACAAGCAAACAUAUACAGCUGUGUUUGUAUUCGUAGUGUCAGCAGAAGAAGUGACCAAGUGCCAUGUAAUGUUCAGUAAAACAUUAAUUGGUCAUUAUUUUCUGAAUCAACCACUAUCUUAACAGACAACUCUCUUCUGCCUUUGCUUAUCAUGCAUAUAUGCUAACCUCUACCUAUUUAUGUGUGUAUCUGUGUUUGUCAACAUCCAUAUAUUCAGGAAUAUGUGUAUGGGCACAUAUAUUUAUACUUGCAGCCAUAGAUGCAGUAUAUUUCAAAAGAUGUGUAGAGAUUUUUUUAUUUUCUUCCUUAAUGGUGUUUUUCAGUGUGACUUUGAUUUAAUGUUGUUUUUUUCGACGUGCAAGGAGAUGCUGCCAUUUGUGUUGAGGUGGCUGCCAACAGCUGUAUAUAAACAAGUAGUGGGACAAGACAACUGGAGGCAAAUCUGAUAGUGCUGGGUUUGGCAAAGUGACGCAGGAUGUAUCCCAAAUUACACCUUUUUCAAAAGUAGUGCACUACAUACUCUAGGGAAUAGGGUGCCAUUUGGGAUCCUUCAUUUUAAACUGUCAUCUUGAUUGACCAAUCUCCGACCGUCUGUCUGGAUGUGAUAACUACAUAACUCCAUAACUCCAGUGUGAGAAAUGACCGUCUGUCUGGAUGUGAUGAUAACUACAUAACUCCAUAACUCCAGUGUGAGAAAUGACCGUCUGUCUGGAUGUGAUGAUAACUACAUAACUCCAUAACUCCAGUGUGAGAAAUGACCGUCUGUCUGGAUGUGAU
ensembl:lncRNA